CAAUAGCGUAUAUUAAAGUUGUUGCAGUUAGAACGCUCGUAGUCGGAUUUCGGGGCGUUCCGACCGGUCUGCCGAUGGGUAUGCACUGGCCGGAGUGUCCUUUUUGCCGGAGACCGUGCCUACUCUUAACUGAGCGGGGGCGGGAGACGGCACUUUUACUUUGAAAAAAUCAGAGUGUUUCAAGCAGGCAGCUCGCUCUUGCAUGGAUUAGCAUGGGAUAAUGAAAUAGGACUUUGGUGCUAUUUUGUUGGUUUCGAACACCGAAGUAAUGAUGAGAAGGGACAGUCAGGGGCACUCGUAUUCCGCAGAGAGAGGUGAAAUUCUCAGACCCGCGGAAGGCGAACCACUGCGAAAGCAUUUGCCAGGGAUGUUUUCACUGA
rnacentral:rRNA from 1 species